rnacentral:rRNA from 1 species
ACAUGCAAGUCGAGGGGCAGCAUGGUCUUAGCUUGCUAAGGCCGAUGGCGACCGGCGCACGGGUGAGUAACACGUAUCCAACCUGCCGUCUACUCUUGGACAGCCUUCUGAAAGGAAGAUUAAUACAAGAUGGCAUCAUGAGUCCGCAUGUUCACAUGAUUAAAGGUAUUCCGGUAGACGAUGGGGAUGCGUUCCAUUAGAUAGUAGGCGGGGUAACGGCCCACCUAGUCUUCGAUGGAUAGGGGUUCUGAGAGGAAGGUCCCCCACAUUGGAACUGAGACACGGUCCAAACUCCUACGGGAGGCAGCAGUGAGGAAUAUUGGUCAAUGGGCGAGAGCCUGAACCAGCCAAGUAGCGUGAAGGAUGACUGCCCUAUGGGUUGUAAACUUCUUUUAUAAAGGAAUAAAGUCGGGUAUGGAUACCCGUUUGCAUGUACUUUAUGAAUAAGGAUCGGCUAACUCCGUGCCAGCAGCCGCGGUAAUACGGAGGAUCCGAGCGUUAUCCGGAUUUAUUGGGUUUAAAGGGAGCGUAGAUGGAUGUUUAAGUCAGUUGUGAAAGUUUGCGGCUCAACCGUAAAAUUGCA